AUUGAACGCUGGCGGCAGGCCUAACACAUGCAAGUCGAGCGAGCGGCGGACGGGUGAGUAAUGUCUGGGAAACUGCCUGAUGGAGGGGGAUAACUACUGGAAACGGUAGCUAAUACCGCAUACCAUCAGAUGUGCCCAGAUGGGAUUAGCUAGUAGGUGGGGUAACGGCUCACCUAGGCGACGAUCCCUAGCUGGUCUGAGAGGAUGACCAGCCAACUUGGAACUGGGACGCGGUCCAGACUCCUACGAGAGGCAGCAGUGGGGAAUAUGGCACAAUGGGCGCUAGCCUGAUGCAGCCAUGCCGCAUGUGUUAAGAAGGCCUUCGGGUUGUAAAGCACUUUCAGCGGGGAGGCGUUACCCGCAGAGGAAGCACCGGCUAACUCCGUGCCAGCAGCGGCGGGAAUAC
rnacentral:rRNA from 1 species